rnacentral:rRNA from 1 species
GACGAACCGUACGAACGUUAUUCGGAAUCACUGGGCUUAAAGGGUGCGUAGGCGGCGCGACAAGUUGGGUGUGAAAUCCCUCGGCUCAACCGAGGAACUGCGCCCAAAACUGUCGUGCUCGAGGGAGACAGAGGUGAGCGGAACUUAGGGUGGAGCGGUGAAAUGCGUUGAUAUCGGAAGGAACGCCGGUGGCGAAAGCGGUCCGCUGGCCCUCUACUGACGCUGAGGCGCGAAAGCCAGGGGAGCAAACGGG